CUCGAGUUUCUCUCUCCUUGUGCUUCCUCAUUCUCUAGGUCUAUCCGUCUAUGGCUAACCCUCAGAUUCACUGCUGGUUUUCUCAGGUGGAACUGAAAUUAAUGGCAUCGUUGAAGAGAUGAAAAAGUUGACAACUACGUGUAUCUUAUGACGAUGAAGGACUGCAGAAAUUGUUCAGUGUCCUUGGUAAUUUUGAAAAAUUAGAUUUCUUCAACUAAUAUUCUGAAAGCACUUCUGAAGCUCUUGCUGUACCAGAAUUGCUUGGACACCGUUACAUCUUGAUUGGGAACCCGCGAAAUCAGAAUGAUACUAUGACCUAAUCUGCCUUUCCCUGUUCAAAACUAGCUAGGUGCUCCAGUCUUUUAGAUGCUGCAAUAUUUUUGUUUUCACGUGUUACAAAUAUUCUGACAGAAAGUCUCGUGCUCCCUGUGAUAUCCACAAAUGACAGAUUUAAGUUGGGAUAUGAAUUAUGGGAUGGAACCAAAAUACAUGGGCAGAAUCAAAUGUCGCACCUACUGGAUCUAUUCAACCUGUUGAUAAGGUAUUUCACAAUUUUGUCAAUAAGUUAUUUUUCUUUCUUUCUUGCUUUUUAUUGCUUUGUUUAAAUAAGUGGAUAUUUUAUGUUAAAUGGGGUAUUUACUAUUUGAGUAAUCACUAUUUUAAUCAAGUGAUGGUCAAGGUAUCAAUUCUAAGCCAUAUUACCAAAGAGCUCAGUCAGGCCUCAAGUUUUUAAUUUUAUCUGCUAGUGUGCGUGAUAGUACCAUAUCGAGCAGUAUAAUCAUCUUUUGUCCCGUAACAAAAGCCCUUUAUGAACCUUGAUUCAUUGUUUCUUUCGUGGUCAUGGUUUUAUAUCUAGUAAAAAUUCUGUUUGAUACCCAGUUUUAAUGAUUUCUUACCUAAAGAGACGGCUUACAAUAUCCCAGCAAUCAAUAUUAUGGAUAAUUGCUGAAACAUUUGACGGGAAACUUAAUCGUAUUUGGUGUUAAUGUUGCAUAUCCUGCAUGACUUUGUGCAUUAAGAUAUGUCAAAAGACAUGACUGUAAAAAGUUGCUGAAUUAUGGUUUCAGUAUAGUGGUGUUUUUUAGGUUGGUUACUGCGUACUAAAUUUGGUUGAUAGACACUAUUGACAUCUAUAGCUGCUUAUUUAGUUGUUUUAUUCUUAUGAAUAGAAAGGCUCUUCUCUUUCAGCAUUGGCUUCAAGAAUAAAGAGAAUAUUCUACAUGUCAAGCGAGGGAAGAAACUUGUUACACGAGCUUAGUGAUAUUUAUGGUUUUUGGUUGUCUGAUUUUUUUUAUUUUUUUUCCCCCAGAUCUCUUAUAUUUUGUGCAGGCUAGUUUAGACUCACCAACUUCCUAUGAAAUGUGCUAAUCUUUGGGUAACAACCGUCCAUGUCUUAUGCCAUUACCUGACACCCACAUCAAA